rnacentral:rRNA from 1 species
UAAGCGGAGGAAAAGAANCUAACAGGAUUCCCCUAGUACUGCGAGUGAAGCGGNAAAGGCUCAAAUUGGGANUCUGGUNGUCNUNNNCCAUCCGAGUNGUAAUUNAGAGNAGCGUCUUCCGCGCUGGACCGUGCACAAGUCUCCUGGAAUGGAGCGUCAUAGAGGGUGAGAAUCCCGUCUUUGGCACGGAAUCCCAGGGCUUCUGUGAUGCGCUCUCGACGAGUCGAGUUGUUUGGGAAUGCAGCUCAAAAUGGGUGGUGAACUCCAUCUAAAGCUAAAUAUUGGCGAGAGACCGAUAGCGAACAAGUACCGUGAGGGAAAGAUGAAAAGCACUUUGGAAAGAGAGUGAAACAGUACGUGAAAUUGUUGAAAGGGAAACGCUUGAAGUCAGUCGCGUCGACCGAGACUCAGCCUUGCCUCGGCUUGGUGUACUUCUCGGCUUGACGGGUCAGCAUCGAUUUCGAUCCUCGGAUAAUGGCAAGGGAAAGGUAGCACCUUUUUAGGUGUGUUAUAGUCCUCUGUCGCAUGCGAGGGUCGGGAUCGAGGAACUCAGCACGCACCUCAGGGUGUCGGGGCCUUGGCCCACGUUUACGUGCUUAGGAUGCUGGCGUAAUGGCUUUAAACGACC